GGCGUUCCAGCUGCCCCGUGGAGCUGCCAGAGGAUGUCAUCCUGCCACCAUUCCAGAUCCAUCAGGCGGGCGUGGGCCUCCAGCAGCCGCCGGGACUCCACCAGACGCUCCGUCUCCAACACCAUGCUCUGAACUAGAAAUUUCACAUAAAGGGAGACGACUCCUGCAGAGCAUCUCACCAGAGUAAAGUCGAGGCAGGUUGCUGACGGCGGCGAGGAGCUGGCGGUGGUUGAUGGAGACCUCCCUCAGCCUAUCGAGAGAUUUAACACAGUCCAUGUUUCCAUCCGACUCCAGCCCUGCUGCUUUCAGAGUGUGCGAGACCUCCUUCAGCUCGGUUCUGGCCUCCCGGAGCUGCUCCAAACCCCAGCCCACGCCCUCCAGUCUGGCGUGAACGGAGGCGGUCCUCUGACUCUCCCGCUUCCUGUAUUGGCUCAGUCGCUCCAGAUGUUCAGGCUGACAGAAAACCCCCGACGCCCACUUCAGGGCAGCACCCCGGGCCAAGCGCUCCGCCCGCUCCACCUCUGGCCACACAGCAGCCUCUGGCAUUGAGAAAAACACACAAGUCCUUAAAGCAUUUUUCCUUUUUGCAAAAAAGCUUCAAACUGAUGCUUCGCACGUUUCCAUCACUACAAAUGUGUCUUCAGAUGAACUAUCCUCGUUCUGGAGGUUUUUGAAGCGGGGCACGACCUUCCCUACGACAAAAGAAAAGAAAAAAAAUACGUGCAAACCAGCAAACAUUUGAUCCUGUGAAGCUUCAUCAUCAUCACUGUUGGAGAGAGGAAACUCGGCAUGCUCCGAGGUUUGGUCCCAGCUGGGCCGCUGACGCUCUGCUGUAAUUUAAUCUGUUUUUAAUCCAUUUCUCAUUUAGCAGCAGAAGAAACAUCUUCACUAAAGCUGCAGAGCUUAUUGUGGAGGUUUCUACUAAUCAACGCUGCAUUCAGUCAAGAAAAGACAAAUGUCGUCAUUACAGGGUGGUACUGGGACAGGAAGUCUUAAUGCUUUUUAUGUGGCUUCCUCCCAAAACAAGUUUAAGUCUUCUGACCUAAGUGGUCUAAAGAGUAAGAAACACGAGAAAAGGAUGCGAUCAGAUGACGGAAACAAAACAAACAGGAAGAUUUCUGCUCUUUAUGUUCGUGCAUUUUUUUUCCCGGGACUGCGCUGCUCUGGGUGGCUGCAUGUUGGAGUAGCUCUGUUGACUAAAUGUAAGUUUUGCCUUUUUUUAGACAUUUUUUCUUCUAGUUUCUCAAGAAAAACUGUAUUUUUUGUACACUUUACUUUUCUGUUUCUGGUGCUGUGAAGCUUGGAGGAUUUUUACUGCUAUUUUUUUUAUUUUUUUAGCUUUUUUCACUUUUUGAGCAUUUGUUAUGAUGCGUAACCAUGGCAACAAGCUGGUUUACAAUCAGAGCAGCUGAUUAACAUUGGAAAGGCUGAAAUAAUACCUCAACUGAAGCCACAAAUCCCAAAUGAGCUAAAACGUAAAAAGCGUGGGUGCAGAGCGGGAGCAAAACGGAGACAGAGAAAGAGGAAAUUCAAACCAUCUCUUCCAUCGAUCAUAACGGGCAAUGUGAGAUCACUGGCCAACAAGACGGAGGAACUCCAAGCCCUUUGAAGGACUCAGCCAGAGUUUCGGCAGUUUCGGAACCGCUGGAGGAGAUAAUGCAAAGAAGGAUUCUCCAGAGAAUCGAGAACAUGAUGGACAACCCUGAGCGUUCUCUUCACAAGACUGUCCGACAACAGAAGAGAGUCUUCAGUCAGAGGCUUCUUCAGUUUCACUGCAACACUGACCGCUACUGGAGAUCCUUCCUGCCAACAGCCGUUGUAAUAUACAACAACUCUUUGAUGACCUGAUUAAUAUUAUUAUUAUUCUGAGCUACUACAGCAAUCAGUUUCCCUCUGGGAUUAAUAAAGUAUUUUUGAAUUGAA